rnacentral:rRNA from 1 species
UACGUAGGGUGCGAGCGUUGUCCGGAAUUAUUGGGCGUAAAGAGCUCGUAGGCGGUGUGUCACGUCGGCCGUGAAAACUUGCAGCUUAACUGUGGGCGUGCGGUCGAUACGGGCAUCACUGGAGUUCGGCAGGGGAGACUGGAAUUCCUGGUGUAGCGGUGAAAUGCGCAGAUAUCAGGAGGAACACCGGUGGCGAAGGCGGUUCUCUGGGCCUGUACUGACGCUGAGGAGCGAAAGCGUGGGGGAGCGAACAGG